rnacentral:rRNA from 1 species
AUUGAACGCUGGCGGCAGGCCUAGCACAUGCAAGUCGAACGGUAACAGGAAGCAGCUUGCUGCUUCGCUGACGAGGGGCGGACGGGUGAGUCAUGUCUGGGAAACUGCCCGAUGGAGGGGGAUAACUCCUGGAAACGGCAGCUAAUACCGCAUAACGUCCCAAGACCAAAGAGGGGGACCUUAGGGCCUCUUGCCAUCGGCUUUGCCCAGAUGGGAUUAGCUAGUAGGUGGGGUAACGGUUCACCUGGGCGACUAUCCCUAGCUGGUCUGAGAGGAUGACCAGCCACACUGGAACUGAGACACGGUCCAGACUCCUACGGGAGGCAGCAGUGGGGAAUAUUGCACAAUAGGCGCAAGCCUGACGCAGCCAUGCCGCGUGUAUGAAGAAGGCCUUCGGGUUGUAAAGUACUUUCAGCGGGGAGGAAGGGAGUAAAGUUAAUACCUUUGCUCAGUGACGUUACCCGCAGAAGAAGCACCGGCUAACUCCGUG